AAUUAAUGAGCUUGUAUAAGUGUUUGUUUUGAAAACUAAAGAAAGAACAAUUUCAGUUCUAUUAAUUU
rnacentral:tRNA from 1 species